AUGAAACACAAUUGAAUAGAUAACCUAAGGCAAGGGGAUAAGGUGGCCCUGGAACUUCCUCAAAGGAAUAGGGACCUCAGCGCAGAUAAGUAGAUUCAACCACUCAGUGCAGGGAGGUGCAGUCUCACGUUUAACCUCUCAGUUUCAUUGUCAUAUCAGCCCAGGGGCCCAUCAGCAAAUAGAAACCAUUCUAAGAAUUUCAGGGAGC
rnacentral:lncRNA from 1 species